GUUUUUGUUAAGGUAAAUUUAGGUAAUUAUAAUAUAUUGGAUUAAUAUUAUGAGUGAGGAUUGAAGAAUUUUUAAAGAUUAAUAGUACUGUUGAGGAAUUAAUUGUAUUUGAUUAUAAAAUUAGGUUUUUUAGUACCUUUUGUAUUAGGGUUUAUUAAUGUAUGAAAAUGUAGAUUUUGUCUCGACGAAUAUCGGGCUAUUUUGUUAGGCGUUAUUUUUGUUGAAUAAAAUUAGUUAUGGCUUAAUAGUUAUGAAAUAUUAUUCAAGUUAUUUUUUAUCUAGUUUUCUUAGAAUUAUAAUUAAAGAUAUUUUUAUUAUAAAAAUAUGCUGGGAUUAGCUAGCUUAUUGUUUAUAUAUUAAGUAUGUUUUGGUUUAUUGGUGGAGUUAAAAGUUCUUAUUUAUAAGAUGUUAUUAUAUAAUAGGUUGUUUUGUAUUAUUUUUUAAUUUUAUGUUGAGAUUAGGAAUUUUAAUUUAAUUUGUAUUUGAUGAUAUAAUGAUAAAAUUAGUAAUAUAUGAAUUUAUAGAUUUGGUUUGUGGAGUUUUUUGGUAAUAAAAGGGCUGGGUAUUAAUGUUGAAGAAUUAGGCAAAAUUGGCUUUUGACUGUUUAGCAAAAACAUUGUUUUUUGUUAAGAUAAAAAAUAAGGUCUGUCCACUGCUUAGUAGUGAAGGGCUGCAGUAUAUUGACUGUAUGAAGGUAGCAUAAUCAUUAGUUUUUUAAUUGAAAGCUGGUAUGAAGGUGAAACAGGGGCUUUCUAUUUUGAUAUUAAUUAAUGAAUUUUAUUUUUGUGUGAAAAAUCAUAAUUGAGUUUAAGGGACAAGAAGACCCUAGUGAGUUUUAUUUUUAGUUGUGAGGGGUAUAUAGUUUAUAAAAUUAAUGUUAUUUGUAAUUUUGAAGUUUGACUGGGGCGGUAUGUAAUUGAACAUUAUUUAAUUUUUAAUUUUUGAUAGCGUUUGUAGGACCUGAAUUGGUCAGUUGAAGGUUAAACUACUGUAGGGAUAACAGCGUAAUUUUUUUUAAGAGUUCUUAUUGACAGGAAA
rnacentral:rRNA from 1 species